AUGCACGCUGGCGGCGUGCCUCGUCCAUGCAAGUCGCGCGAACAGACGAGGAGCUUGCUCCUCUGACGUUAGCGGCGGACGGGUGAGUAACACGUGGAUAACCUACCUAUAAGACUGGGAUAACUUCGGGAAACCGGAGCUAAUACCGGAUAAUAUAUUGAACCGCAUGGUUCAAUAGUGAAAGACGGUUUUGCUGUCACUUAUAGAUGGAUCCGCGCCGCAUUAGCUAGUUGGUAAGGUAACGGCUUACCAAGGCAACGAUGCGUAGCCGACCUGAGAGGGUGAUCGGCCACACUGGAACUGAGACACGGUCCAGACUCCUACGGGAGGCAGCAGUAGGGAAUCUUCCGCAAUGGGCGAAAGCUUGACGGAGCAACGCCGCGUGAGUGAUGAAGGUCUUCGGAUCGUAAAACUCUGUUAUUAGGGAAGAACAAAUGUGUAAGUAACUAUGCACGUCUUGACGGUACCUAAUCAGAAAGCCACGGCUAACUACGUG
rnacentral:rRNA from 1 species